rnacentral:rRNA from 1 species
UACGGAGGGUGCAAGCGUUGUCCGGAAUCAUUGGGCGUAAAGCGCACGUAGGCGGCUCUUUAAGUCUCUUGGUGAAAGGCUGGGGCUCAACCCCAUGCAUGCCGGGGAUACUGGGGAGCUGGAGACAGGUAGAGGCCAGCGGAAUUCCGGGUGUAGCGGUGGAAUGCGUAGAGAUCCGGAAGAACACCGGAGGCGAAGGCGGCUCACUGGCCUGGUAUUGACGCUGAGGUGCGAAAGCGUGGGGAGCAAACAGG